AGGGUUCCAUAACAACAACAUCAGGGCCAUCCCAGAAAAGGCCUUCAUGGGGAACCCUCUGCUGCAGACAAUACACUUUUAUGAUAACCCGAUCCAGUUUGUGGGAAGGUCAGCAUUCCAGUACCUGCCUAAACUGCACACACUAUCCCUGAAUGGUGCCACAGACAUCCAGGAGUUCCCAGAUCUCAAAGGGACCACGAGCCUGGAGAUCCUGUGAGUGGAUACACUCAGGCCUCUACCCCAUCUGUGCUC